UGCCUAAACUCUAAAGCAAUUUAAGGCAUGGUGUGCACAAAACGGAUUAAGUGUAAUGGUGGUCAGACACCUUGCUUACUUAAUCCGUCAUAGCCGAAAGGCUAUGGGCAAGUCCGAAAGGACAAGCC
rnacentral:sRNA from 12 species